AGUGUAUGAUGACGUCAAGUUGUCACGUGAUUAUUUUUGCAUAACCCUCGCUUCUCUUUUCCACCGUGCACUCUCGUCCACUGCAGCGCGCCGACGGACGUCCACGCGUUCCAAUCGAGGGAAACGUCCGAAAAGCUGAAAAAGUUUGAGGAUUUAGAGGAGGCCGAGGCUUUUCACUCCCAACGUCAGGAGUGAGGAAGUGGGAAUUCCGUGUCUAACGGCCUCCCUGAUAAAGGCGCAGGUAUGGCAGCUGGUACGUGGUGAGUGGAUAAGGCUUGGAACACAGACCUGAACACGCUGUGCUUCGUUGUUAUAAUUCGUAGUCCAAAUGAACCGCUAUUUUGAGGGAUUUCCCAUUUGUAAAGCCUCAGCAUAUUGCUUAGGCCUGUUUAAUAUAUAUAUAUUUUUUAUUUUUUGUUUCUCAACACUGAGAAAGAGCUUUUGAUGGCAAAAUAAUCACUUUUUUAUAGUUAUACAACUAAGAACCACACCGUGAGUCAUGGCUCAGUGGGUUUUUUACAUGACGUUUUUCAUUCACUCCAUGAACUGCAUCAUCUUUUAUCACAAUUACAACUCACACAUUCCACUAAUUACACAUACGCUCUUUACACCAUACAUACACAUACUCUGUUCGAUUGUGAGGUGCCUAAACUUGUUCGACUUCUAUAGAGCUGGUAUUUCUCUCCCUCAUAUUUGACUUGAAAAGCAGACAUUCACUGCCCAAUCUUUAUCAUCUACUCAAAAGAUGUGCCGAUCUCCAAUGCAAAGUGAUGCAACGGCAUCAUCGACAGGGAUCUGUUAGUCAAUACAGUGGUUUACAAAACCUGAAUUUCACAAACCCGCCGGGCGAGACCCUCUUUGGCGCCUACCCGUUGAAAAACAUACUUGACGAAUAUAUACAUCGAUGGCAGUAAACGGUUGGAUUCCAUUUGACGAAUAGGAACGUCGAUGGCAGUGAACGAGUUAAUAACCAAUUCUAUCAUGAGUUUACCCAGAAAAAAGUCUAUGCAGUCCAUUUCCAGAAAGACACAGGAAGUCUGCCAUUUUGCUUUGAAGCAGCCAUUUUAAUUUUUGGAGUAUUUGAAAUACUUCCAUGAAAAUUCAGCCCCUAAAGCCAGUUUAACAUAGCUACUAUGGUAAGCAUGUCUAUCAUGAGUAGACCCACAAAGGUCUCAGGAAUACAUGCCUGAAAACAUACAGGAAGUCUGCCAUUUUGGUUUGAAGCAGCCAUUUUUGGGUUAUUUUGGACAUUUCCAUGGGUCUUCCGAAGAAAACUCAGCCCUCGACCAGUUUCAUUUGGUAACAUGAAACUUAAUGAACAUGUUUAUUAAGAGUAGACCCACAAAAAAGUCUCAAGAACCUAUGCCUCAAAAGACACAGGAAGUCUGCCAUUUUAGUUUGAUGGGGGUGAUUUUGCACAUUUCCCGAUUAUUAUUUUUUGCAUAGCUGAGCAAGGCUAUUUUGAGUUGUCAUCCUUGCGUAUGGGUGAAUUUUGAUGACGCGCCCUGAAGCAUGAAACUCUAAAAACUUAGCUCACACUGUUCAAGCGGAAUCCCACCCAUAUAAGUUCUAAUGUUUUCAUCCAAUAACGCAAUUCCUCACUGGCUGUUUGAAUUCCAAUUGUUUUACACUGUGCAGGUGAACCGCAGCCUGUGCUAACCGCCUUGUAAGUUUACGCAACAAUUUCACAUAUUGACUGUCAACAAAGCAAUGCUUUUGUAAAAAGCAACAGCAUGUUCCUAUGCUGCCUCAUAAAUAAUAAUAAAAUAGUGUGGUGUGAAACAACGGCA